AACGAACGCUGGCGGCAGGCUUAACACAUGCAAGUCGAGCGCCCCGCAAGGGGAGCGGCAGACGGGUGAGUAACGCGUGGGAAUCUACCCAUCUCUACGGAAUAACGCAUGGAAACGUGUGCUAAUACCGUAUACGUCCUUCGGGAGAAAGAUUUAUCGGAGAUGGAUGAGCCCGCGUUGGAUUAGCUAGUUGGUAGGGUAAACACCUACCAAGGCGACGAUCCAUAGCUGGUCUGAGAGGAUGAUCAGCCACACUGGGACUUCGACCCGGCCCAGACUCCUACGGGAGGCAGCAGUGGGGAAUAUUGGACAAUGGGCGCAAGCCUGAUCCAGCCAUGCCGCGUGAGUGAUGAAGGCCCUAGGGUUGUAAAGCUCUUUCACCGGUGAAGAUAAUGACGGUAACCGGAGAAGAAGCCCCGGCUAACUUCGUGCCAGCCGCCGCCGUAAUAC
rnacentral:rRNA from 1 species